AGUAAAGUGCCUGAAUUAAAGGAUUAUCGUGAUAGGAUAAAUUAUGUAAUUUCAAGUUUACCUUUACUA
rnacentral:tRNA from 1 species